rnacentral:lncRNA from 1 species
AUGGUGAACAAGGUGAGCAGGCAGCGAGAGAAGCAAGACCACAUUCUUUGCAGCCACUCGUUCACCUCAUGGAAUGAGACAAACCCAUCAUGGGGAAGGCCUUAAAGGACGACUUGGUAUAGCUCGAACCCAGAAAGAUCCCAAAGGACAGUGGCAUCACAAAAAGAGCCUCAGCUGACUUGUUGGAACAGGGCUGUGUAAUACAAGGGCACAUGGCGAUGGAUGGAAACCCACUCUGCUCGGCCUUAAUUUAUACUGGUUUGCUAGAGCCUUACUCUUUUGCAUAAUAAAUAACUUUGGUGAAAAUGCUUUACUGUGAGCUUCAUUUAGACAGUCAAGCCUGUAAUGGUCAUUUAGUCAUCAAGGAAUCAGCUUGCUGCCCCUGCAGUGGGGGCAGAACUGCAGAUUCUUGGGAGAGAACAGUAUGGUUCCCCAGAACAUGCUGGAGAGCAGGAUGCAUCCGGUGGCCCAGCCCGGGCUGUGCCUGGGGCAACAUGGUGACAGGAUGGGCAUGGCCUUCUGUGGGAGGUGACAGGAGAGAGCCCUGGGUGCAGGGCUCACAGCAUGGAGCAGCUUGCGGUGUGCAGGUGGGAGAACAGGAGAGAGGCCAGCCGAGGAUCCAGGUGUCGGGAAGAGAGAGGGUGUUGGGGGUUAUGAACAGCUGCCAAUGCCACAGCACGAAACCUGUCUGUAAGGUAUGGGGAAGGGACAAAAAAACAUUUUGGGGGUCAGAUUCUGCCCCCAGAAGUGACCCUGUCCCCAGCAGUAUUUUGUCGUAACUGUAGUGGCUGUUCAUAAGGCCCUAACUCAAUAAGCCUUCCCAGGUGGCUCAGUGGGCAUCUGCCUGACAGUGCAGGAGACAUUGGAAGAUGCUGUGGAGAAUAAAAGGGCACCCCACUCCAUCCAGUGUUCCUGCCUGGGAAAUCCCAUGGCCAGAGGAGCCUGGUGCGCUGUAGUCCAUGGGGUCUCAAGAGCUGGACAUGACAUAGCAACUGAAAGAACUCAGGAAGCCACCAAUUAAUAUUGG